UAGGUGACCCCUGUUGUAAGUGUUGU
rnacentral:piRNA from 1 species